UACGUAGGGGGCAAGCGUUGUCCGGAAUUAUUGGGCGUAAAGAGCUCGUAGGCGGUCUGUUACGUCUGCUGUGAAAACCCAGGGCUUAACCCUGGGCUUGCAGUGGAUACGGGCAGACUAGAGGCAGGUAGGGGAGAAUGGAAUUCCCGGUGUAGCGGUGAAAUGCGCAGAUAUCGGGAGGAACACCGGUGGCGAAGGCGGUUCUCUGGGCCUGACCUGACGCUGAGGAGCGAAAGCGUGGGGAGCGAACAGGG
rnacentral:rRNA from 1 species